rnacentral:rRNA from 1 species
GCUUAGGUUUCUCGUCUUAGGAUCAUCUGGGGUCAUUCGUACUCGUCCGCGAGAGGUGAAAUUCUUGGACCGGACGAAGACGAUCAGCAGCGAAAGCAUCUGUCAGGGAUGUUUUCUGCGACAAAGGACAAAGGUCAGGGUAUCGAAGACGAUUAGAUACCGUCGUAGUCCUGACUGUAAACUAUGCCGACUUGGGUCUUGCAGAGUAAAUACUUUGUGAGACCCACACAGAAAUGAAAGUGUAUGGGUUCUGGGGGUAGUAUGGACACAAGUCUGAAACUUGAAGGAAUUGACGGAAGAGCACCAUAAGACGUGGAGCUUGCGGCUUAAUUUGACUCAACGCGGGAAAACUUACCAGGUCAAGACAUGGGCGUGAUUGACAGGCUAAUGACCUUUCUCGAUUCCUUGGAUGGUGGUGCAUGGUCGCACUUAGUUGGUGCAGUGAUUUGUCAGGUUUAUUCCGGUAACGAACGAGACCUCGGCCUUGUAAAUAGUUUUACUGCUUACAGGGACAAUGUCGGCUACGUCAAGGAAGUUCGAGGCAAUUGCAGAUCUGGAAUGCCCUUAGAUGUCCUGGGUCGCACGCGUGCUACAAUGACGCCACGAGCGAGUUCAUGUGUUGAAAGACAUGUGAAAUCAGC